UGCUGCUGUGGGAAGUCUUCACAUGCUUGAGGUAGACAUCCCCCUAACUCACCAAUGGGUUUGAGGCCUGUCAGUUCCUUUCAACUUGAUUUAGCCCAUCCAAUGAAGAUUUACCAAGGUGCAGCCACUGCACAUUCUACAGCUUCUGCAGCCACAGAUCCUAGCUGUCCAGUUCCAGAGUCCCAGUAGACACUUGGGGCACAGCAGCUCUCCUGAGGCUGAAGGGGCACAGCAAGGUAAGUGAUCAAACAUAUUGAGGAAGAACAUCAAUAAAUGAGGCAACUUUUUGUCCCUUAAAACUUCUAGGUGGUUGCAGUGACAGUAGUGUCCUAUUACAAUGUGGCUGAAUGGAAUGAAUAACUCAUCAGAAACUCCUGGCUGAGGUGGAUGGUAUAUAGGCGCAAGCAUGGAUAGAUUCUGCCAGGACUUUUCCAUUCCAACAUAAAUAGGAUUAUCAUCCUGAAGAUGGCCCUGGUAGCCCCUCCCCUGAUUUGUGAGUUCUUACCUGGCACAACUAUUUCAAGAAGAAACAUUUGAAAUAAAGAUGUAUUUGUAUCUCCAGUGUUUAGCACAGUGAUUGGCACAUAAUAAAGUACUUUAUAAAUGCUUUAUCUAUCCAGUUGGCUUCACCCUCAUUGAAGGUCUUUGAACAAAGGUUGGAUGUUGAUAUAUUUUAGAGAAAAUUCUUCCAUAGGAAGG